rnacentral:rRNA from 1 species
UACGAAGGGUGCAAGCGUUAAUCGGAAUUACUGGGCGUAAAGGGUUCGUAGGUGGUGCGGCAAGUUGGGAGUGAAAUCUCUGGGCUUAACCCAGAGGCUGCUUUCAAAACUGCCGCGCUCGAGUGCGAGAGAGGUCAGUGGAAUUGCAGGUGUAGCGGUGAAAUGCGUAGAUAUCUGCAGGAACACCCGUGGCGAAGGCGGCUGACUGGAUCGCAACUGACACUGAGGAACGAAAGCUAGGGGAGCAAACAGG